rnacentral:rRNA from 1 species
GAUGAACGCUGGCGGCGUGCCUAAUACAUGCAAGUCGAGCGAACGGACGAGAAGCUUGCUUCUCUGAUGUUAGCGGCGGACGGGUGAGUAACACGUGGAUAACCUACCUAUAAGACUGGGAUAACUUCGGGAAACCGGCGCUAAUACCGGAUAAUCUUUUGAACCGCAUGGUUCAAAAGUGAAAGACGGUCUUGCUGUCACUUAUCGAUGGAUCCGCGCUGCUUUAGCUAGUUGGUAAGGUAACGGCUUACCAAGGCAACGAUGCAUAGCCGACCUGAGAGAGUGAUCGGCCACACUGGAACUGAGACACGGUCCAGACUCCUACGGGAGGCAGCAGUAGGGAAUCUGCCGCAGUGGGCGAAAGCCUGACGGAGCAACGCCACGUGAGUGAUGAAGGUCUUCGGAUCGUAAAACUCUGUUAUUAGGGAAGAACAUAUGUGUAAGUAACUGUGCACAGCUUGACGGUACCUAAUCAGAAAGCCACGGCUAACUACGUG